CAAAUUGCCUGCGUCUCGCCAGACCACCACAAAGUGAUGGAGAAGUAACGGUUCUUGUAGCGGAUUUUGUGUCCGUCAAAGACCGGUCAGCAUAGCUGCGGUUUUGUGCCUCAACCACUCCAAAUUACAUAAAGCUCAAAUUGACAUAUAGAACCAAAAUUGGAGGAAGUCAGAUCCAAUUUCCCUCGUUUAUGCGCGAACCCAAAAGGGGGAAAAGACGCCAAUCACCAGGUUUAAGACUCACUCCCAUGGUAUACAUGCCGUCCAUCAGCUACAACCGCUAUAUCGUUCCAGGUCACAGAUCUUCUCAAGCUGCCUCAUAUCUCCCGCGCACGAAAGGAAGGUGGAGAGGCACGUCCGUUGUUCGUCCCUCCGCCAUGCACGUCUCGGUGUCGUCGCGUGGCUUCCCAGCCUCCCCGGUAUCGUCAUCCUCAACCUUUCCCUGUACCCUGUUGUGCGCCGCUCGAACGCACCCUCUCCUCGCUUCUAGAAUUUUCCAGAAUGAGUUGAAAUAGGCUAGACAUGGAUCAAGGGAGCAAGGAAGAAAGUAUGCAAGUGGAGAGAAGCACAAAAAAAAACCAAAGAAUUAAUCUCGACCAAGCACGCGCACGCGCACAAGGCGCUCGCGCGCACAUUGCAAAAUCGGCCAGGGACGCGCACGCGUACCGUGCGCGCACGCGUCGAAGCUCGCACAUGACUUCAUUAAAGCAACACGUGCCUGGCGAUUUGAGAGGGUUUCUGAACCCAUUUUGGCGCCAAUUGCUGAGAGAAAGGAAUAAAAGGAUCAAGGAUUGAGGGGAAGGCAUCAAUCUAGCAUAUAGUAUGCUUAGGAUUAAUUUUAGAGUUAGUUUAGAGAGAGAAGCUCUCACUUCUCUCUAGAAUUAGGAUUAGAGUUAGAUUAAUCUCUCUUCUUAGAUCUAGGUUUAAUUCAUGCCUCAAUUCACUUUUCCUUCAUCAAGUCUUAAUCUUCCCCUCUUCCUCUUUCUAGUUAUGUACUUUAAUAAUUGUAAUUCUUCAUUUUAUUUUGGAUAGAUUGUUGUUCCUUUGUUUUCUUUCAAUAAUGCAAUUUGAGGUAAUUCAUGAUAAUUGUGAUUUCCUUGAUUGUUGUUGUUAAUUCUUUGCAAUAAUUGUUGCUAGAUUCCAUUCUUGUUGUUGAUUUACUAUGCUUUCCUUUUAUGCCUUCCAAGUGUUUGAUGAAAUGCUUGGUUGGGUUUUAGUGUAGGUUUUGUUCCUCUUGGCCUAAGUAGAGUGAUUAGUGACACUUGAGUUAUCUAAUUCCUUUGUUGAUUGAUAAUUAGAAGUUGCUAAUUGAUUUGAAUGCCUCUAAAGCUAGUCUUUCCUUUAGGAGUUGAUUAGGACUUGGGGAAUCAAAUUGAUUCAUCCACUUGACUUCCCUUUAUUUAAUAAAGAUUAACUAAGUGGUAGCAAUGAACAAUUCUCAUCACAAUUGAGGAGGAUAACUAGGAUAGGACUUCUAGUUCUCAUAUCUUAUCAAGAGCUUUGUUAGUUGUUACUUUAUUUUCAUUGCCAUUUACUUUCAUGCCUCUUAUCAAAACCCCAAAACAACUCACAACCAAUAACAAAACACUUCAUUGUAAUUCCUAGGGAGAACGACCUGAGGUCCAAUACUUCGGUUUAUAAAUUUAGGGGUUUGUACUUGUGACAAAUAACUUUUUGUAUGAAAGGGUUAUUGUUGGUUUAGAAACUAUACUUUACAACGAUUUUUCAUUAGUGAAAUUCUAAACCGUCAAAAAUCCAAUUCAUCAACCAUCCUUUGAACUCAGAUCUUGAAGGGAAAAACUUAGCUAGCCUUAAUCUACCAUGCAACCCAACCUUGAUCUCUUUCUCACUUAGCACUCCACAAAGUAUCCUAAGUUGAGCAUCUGUUUCCAAGAAAGCAUAUUCAUGUGAGUUAAUGAAGUUAAAGGAUGAUAUUGUUACUCACUUAAAUGGUGUGUUGGAUGGUUGCUUAAGAAGGGAGACUUCCAAUUGCCUUGAAAUUUCUGCUCCCUUGCUCUCCUCUUUGAUUGCCUCCACUUCUUGUUUAAUCCUCACCAAUUCUUCAACCAGUUCCUCAACUUCAAUAAGCUAAACUUUAUCCACUUGUGACAAAUCAUACUUCAAUUCUUUCUCUUCCACUUGGGGUUCCAAACCUUCCCCCUUCCCGCUUUCUUCAAUUGAGGUUGGUUUUUCACAUUCAUCCACAAAAUUACUUUGGUUGUGGCAUGAAUGUGGCAAGUCUAAGUGGGCUAAGACUUCAGUCAAGGUAGCCAUAAUAGCUUGAUGACGCUUGAUCGAUUCUUGUUGCUCAUUAUCAUCCAAGGGAGGUUGAGGUGGAAUAGAAGGCUCAUCAUAUGGGAGGAAGUCUUCAUAAAUGGAGAUUGGUUCAUAAGGGCGAGGGCAUUGAGGUGGUGUAUAUGGAGGUGGUUGGUGAAGCUGAUUAUGGGAGUAAUAAUGUUGGAGUGAUGGUGGUUCAUAAGGUGGGUUGUGAGAUGGAUAUGGAAGUGGAUCCCAUGGAGGUAAUUCGUGAUGUAGUGAGGCUUGAGGGUGUUGUUGUUGAGAAGAAUUUUGACGGUAGGCUUCAUAGGAAUAUGGUGGUUGGUAUGCACUAUAGGAUGAAGCAUGAUCAUAGUGGUAUGGAGGAGGAGGUUACCAUGAUGAUUGACCAUAUGAAUGUGGCUCCUCCCUCAAGUGAUAGCUCAACCCUUGGUGCCACCAUCAUUAAGAUUGCCAUUCCCUACAACAUCGUAAUAACCAAACUCCAAGCCAAGAGGGUGAUAGCUCAUAGAGAAGAAUAAAAAAUAAGAACAAAGAACAUCAACUAACAAAAGAAACAAAAAUCCUAAUUACCAACAAAAGCAAACAAACAAUCCAAAAAGUGUCUAUUCACAUUCUUCACAUAUUCACAACAACCAAAAUUAUAGCACUCAUUUCACUUAUUUCCCCGACAACGGCGCCAAAAAUUUGAUGUGAGUCAGAUCGUCGGUUAGAAAUUUCUCUCUUUUCUCCCAAAAAGGGGAGAAAGGAAAGAUGGAAUUCAACGUUGCAUGUAUAGUCCCAACCAACAAGGCGACUCGUGAGCCAAUGUUUAGAUUAGAGAUGUCACAAUUUAAAACCAAUUUAAAUCCGGGAGUAGAAUCCCGAGUUGUCUCCCAAGAACUAGUGCCAAUGAGUGUACCAUUUCGGUUAUGAUAAUCAACGAAUUUUCAAUAAAGAGAUGAACAAUUAAAGGAAUAAAAUAACAUUAAAAAUUGCAAGUAAUAAACUAAUAAAGGAAUCAAAGAACUAUCUAUGUAAUAUGGACAAGAUAUAAAAGUGAUUGACGUAUGUGUGUGUGUGUGUAAUUCAAAGCAUAAAUGGAAUCUUGGCUUAGGAUGAGCUAGGGGAUCCUUUGUUUGUUGCAACCACAACUAUGAAAAUUGUAAUGGAUUAAUCUCACUUAGGUAACCCUUACAUCGAAGAGUAGGUCAAGUAAGCAUAGUUGUUCUUAAUCCACAAAUUCUAACUCGCUUGCUGAUUGCCUUAGCAACAAGUUAGUGUUAGUGGAAACAAGAAUAAUUAACUAUCCAAGAAUUAUCACUAAAUGUCAAACAUUCUAACUCUAGGAACUCAUAUGCUCAUUUUCCCCAAGCCAAGAGGUGAACAUUUAACACAUAAUCAAAAUUGACAUUUCCACAAACACUUGGUGGGCAUAAACACAAAUCAUGACAAAAUUGAGAAAGUGCUUGAAACUAUGAGCAACAAAUGAUCAAAAGCAACAAUACUAACUCAACCAAGCAUAUAAUAAUCAUCAAUCAUCAAAUUCAUCAAGAAGAAAUCAAAAUUUCAAAAAGUAUAUAUAUUAACAAUAUGACUUUAACUACAAGAAAGAGUAUCAAAAUUGUAACUAUAAGAAGAAGUAAUUAAGAAAUACUUACAAUGGAGGUAAGCAAAAAUCCAAGAUCAAAAUGCAAAUAGCACAUGGAAUAUAAACCCUAAUGAAAACCCUAAGAAAGUAGAGAGAAAACUUAGAGAAAACUAAAACUAAAGCCUCCUAAAAAUUAUAUAAAACUACUCCUAAUGGUAUGUUAUCUUCUCCAAGUGUUGCCCCUCCAAUAUGAGCUCUAGACCAUUAGAUUUGGGCCUCCAAACCCUUCCAAACACGAGCCACGUGACUUUUUAAAGAAUUCAUGCACUAGUACCUAUGCGUACGCACACUUGGCCGAAUUCUCAGGUUAUACGUACGCACAAGAGGCUAUGCGCAUGCACACUUUGUAGUACUUUUCUCCUUUGUUUCUUCAUGCUUCCUCCCUCUUGCAUGCUCUUCUUCCAUUCUUACCAAGCCAUUCCUACCUAUUGCAUCUGAAAUCACUCGCCAAAAAAUAUCAAAGCAUCGAAUGGAAUGUAAAUGGAAUAAAAUUGACUAAAUUAAGCCCAAAAGAGCAUGUUUUCAUAAUCAAGCAUAAUUUACGAGAAAAACUCAAAAGCAUGCUAUUUAAGGGAAUAAGUGUAAGUUUGUAUGAUGAAAUCCACUCAAUUUAACCAAAAAUUAUCAUCAAAUAUGGAUUUAUCAAGGACCAUCACAAAGAGGACAUUGCGAAGCAGGACAAGGUCCCAAUCUCAUAUAGACAGUGUUCUGCACAGAGAAUUUCCCGAUUGGUUAAAGCGUGAUGUGAAGCCUGUCAUGAUCAAUCCUGUUAUAUACAGUAUCCUAUUGUUUCUAUCCCAAACUGAUGAAACGUGAAAUUGUUCCUGUUCAUGUCCGGGGUCGAGCUGUAUGACCUGGACUGAUUAAAGAACAGUCGACCGACUUCUUAAGGCCUGGAAUUUUCCGACCUCUUCUCAAAAAGCUCGGCCAAAUCGCUAGAGAAGCCCAAAGAAGGCCGAAAUUAAAGGAACCCAGCCCAAAUCUAAAGGCGGUUAAAGCCUGCAAAGGUAAAGGCGGUUCCCCUUAAAGAUAAGAUGACUUCACUCAAAGAUAAGAUAAGAUAACUACCUUAUCUCUAGAAAGGUCACUUCACACUAUUAUAAAUACACUGGAGCACCCAGGUAUAACUUAUACUCUGAUUCUACUAAAAACCUGCUAAAAAGCCCAUGCUAACUUAAGCAUCGGAGUCUCUUUCAGGUACCACCACCCUCUGGUGACGAAGGAUCAGCAGCACCACCAAGUCCAACAAGUCGGACACGACAGCGCUGACCACCACCAUAGAUCUUGUCCGCGAUCGACCUACAGUUUCAAGUAACCCUAGGAACAGUUCCCUACUAGAUUCCCUUGGGAAGCAUCAGGCAUUCGAGCGAACUGAAGUGGCUUGCAUGUGGCCCCAAUGUUCAAGCUAGCCGCUUUAUAGCUUACAAUGUAAAUGGAUUUAGGUUUAGGACCUUGUGGAGAGAAGAAGGGCUGAAAACUCAAAAUAGUGUGGUUCUUGUCACUUCUGACACUAGAAGUUAUGCAAGCAGGCGCGAUAAUAAUGUUGCGGUUGGUGGCAUGUCAUAUUACGGAAAACUAGCGGAUAUCAUUGAGUUAAAUUACAGUGGUCAAUUCACAGUCGUUUUGUUUAGAUGUAUCUGGGCAAACACCACAUCUGGUAGAGAGGAUGACAAACCAUACAUUCUUGCAUCAGAGGCUCACCUUGUAUACUAUGUGGAAGAUGAGGUUGAUAAGGAAUAGAAUGUAGUAGUGCAUG